rnacentral:rRNA from 1 species
GAUGAACGCUGGCGGUAUGCUUAACACAUGCAAGUCGAACGGACACUUUCGGGUGUUAGUGGCGGACGGGUGAGUAACGCGUGAGAAUCUGCCUUUAGGUUCGGGACAACCAUUGGAAACGAUGGCUAAUACCGGAUAUGCAGCGAUGUGAAAGAUAUAUUGCCUAAAGAUGAGCUCGCGUCUGAUUAGCUAGUUGGUGGGGUAAAGGCCUACCAAGGCGACGAUCAGUAACUGGUCUGAGAGGAUGAUCAGUCACACUGGAACUGAGACACGGUCCAGACUCCUACGGGAGGCAGCAGUGGGGAAUUUUCCGCAAUGGGCGAAAGCCUGACGGAGCAAUACCGCGUGAGGGAGGAAGGCUCUUGGGUUGUAAACCUCUUUUCUUAGGGAAGAACAAAAUGACGGUACCUAAGGAAUAAGCAUCGGCUAACUCCGUGCCAGCAGCCGCGGUAAUACGGAGGAUGCAAGCGUUAUCCGGAAUGAUUGGGCGUAAAGCGUCCGCAGGUGGUUUUGUAAGUCUAUUGUUAAAGCGUCUGGCUCAACCAGAUAAUGGCGGUGGAAACUACAAGACUAGAGUCCGUUCGGGGCAGAGGGAAUUCCUGGUGUAGCGGUGAAAUGCGUAGAGAUCAGGAAGAACACCGGUGGCGAAAGCGCUCUGCUAGGCCGGAACUGACACUGAGGGACGAAAGCUAGGGGAGCGAAUGGGAUUAGAUACCCCAGUAGUCCUAGCCGUAAACGAUGGAUACUAGGUGUU